rnacentral:tRNA from 1 species
ACCUCGGUAGUCUAAAGGCUUAGGACGCUCGCACGGAAUGCAAGAGAUCCAGGUUCGACUCCCGGCCGACGCA